UGAAGACAUGUUGAGACAGGUAUCUCGACCUGCCAAGUAUAAAGCUAAAGCUGAGUUCAUAAAAAGGGAUGAUUUGGCCGACGGUCAUCUGCCAGAUUCUGAUGAUUAUUCAGAACUCAGUGUGGAAGAAGAUCAGAGGGAGAGGCAGGCGCUCUUUGACUUAUCAAGCUGCUCCCUGAGGCCCAAAAGCUUCAAGUGUCAGACUUGUAAAAAGUCAUAUAUAGGGAAGUGGGGACUGGCCCAGCAUUUUAAACUUAAUCCAGGCCAUGGCCAGCUGGACCCUGAGAUGGUGCUAUCUGAGAAAGCCAAUGGGAGCAACCUCCGGGGGUGCACAGAGGAAAGGACGCUCAGCCUAACCUUCCCGGGGCUGUCCAUGCCAGCAGCUCCGCGUGAGGGAGGGGCCCGCUCCUGCUUGGUGAGAGAGUCAGCACGCGGUGGCCUGCAGGUGAACUGUCACCCCUACAACUCAGCUUGCAACCAGCCCUGGCCACCACCAGUUUCCCCACACUGAGCUGAAUAUUGGACAUGCCCAUCUUAGGCAUUCCAGCCCAUUCUGAAAUUCCACAUCGAUUCACCCGACAAAGUCUGAAGUUCCAGGGCAAUUUAUCUGGAAAAGCUCACCUGGAAUCACGUGUCAUUUCAACCAACAACUGUUGAAGAGGACGUGGCAUUAAAACCAAGGGUAUCAAUUAUUUAUAA
rnacentral:lncRNA from 1 species